rnacentral:rRNA from 1 species
CACGUAGGGCGCAAGCGUUGUCCGGAAUUAUUGGGCGUAAAGAGCUCGUAGGCGGUCUGUUGCGUCCGCUGUGAAAACUCGGGGCUUAACCCCGAGCCUGCAGUGGAUACGGGCAGACUAGAGGUAGGUAGGGGAGAAUGGAAUUCCUAGUGUAGAGGUGAAAUUCGUAGAUAUUAGGAAGAACACCAGUGGCGAAGGCGGCUCACUGGAUCGGUACUGACGCUGAGGUGCGAAAGCGUGGGGAGCAAACAGG